rnacentral:rRNA from 1 species
AUUGAACGCUGGCGGCAGGCUUAACACAUGCAAGUCGAGCGCGCGGCGGACGGGUGAGUAAUGUCUGGGCAACUGCCUGAUGGAGGGGGAUCACUACUGGAAACGUUAGCUAAUACCGCAUAACAUCAGAUGUGCCCAGAUGGGAUUAGCUAGUAGGGGGGGUAAUGGCGCACCUAGGCGACGAUCCCUAGCUGGUCUGCGAGGAGGACCAGCCACACUGGAACUGAGACACGGUCCAGACUCCUACGGGAGGCAGCAGUGGGGAAUAUUGCACAAUGGGCGCAAGCCUGAUGCAGCCAUGCCGCGUGUAUGAAGAAGGCCUUAGGGUUGUAAAGUACUUUCAGCGGGGAGGCGUUACCCGCAGAAGAAGCACCGGCUAACUCCGUGCCAGCAGCCGCGGUAAUUC